CGGACGGGUGAGUAACGCGUGGAAAACCUGCCGUAUACUGGGGGAUAACACUUAGAAAUAGGUGCUAAUACCGCAUAAGCGCACAGCUUCGCAUGAAGCGGUGUGAAAAACUCUGGUGGUAUACGAUGGUUCCGCGUCUGAUUAGCUAGUUGGUGGGGUAAUGGCCUACCAAGGCAACGAUCAGUAGCCGGCUGAGAGGGUGAACGGCCACAUUGGGACUGAGACACGGCCCAAACUCCUACGGAAGGCAGCAG
rnacentral:rRNA from 1 species